AUUGUAGUUUAUAAUAUUAUAUAUAUAAUUAAUUGAUAAAUUGAAAUUUAAGUGAGGGCCAUGCGGCCAACUACGUGGGCAUGCGGCCCAUGAGCCACAGAUUGAACACCCUUGCUAAAGAGGUAUAAAAUAUAUUUUGGUACAUUAAAUCUACAACAUGUGUAAAAAAAAAAUAAAAUUAGUGCAUAUUUGUACUUUAUUAAGCGCAUAAGUUAUCUUAAUAAUGCCGAAAAAACUACUUUUUUUUAGUUUUUAUUUGGGAGGUAUGAAAAGUAGACCAGAUUAUAAGUUAUACUUAGUAAUCAAAAUAAAAAUUUGAACUUAAUGUAGCAGUUUUUUUUUUAAUAAAUUUAAAUAAAACAUUUAAUGAUAACUGAAUUUCAAAACAUGUGUAACCAAAACCUUAACUCAGAAUCGUAUUUUAUUAGGAAUGAUUUAUCAUUGCUUUCAGAUAUAAUU